UCAUAAUUUAGUGAUAGAAAAAGGAAGACAUUUAAAAAUACCUAUCUAGAGAAAAAAGACUAUGCACAUCCUGUAAUACAAUGGAGGAUAAAGCCCAUUUUAUUUUAUACUGUAAAAAAAAUGCUAAGCUAAGAGAUAACUUUAUAGGAAAUGUAAUUAAACAUAUGCCAGAUUUUAUGUCUUGGCAAGAAAAUGAAAAAAUUAAAUAUCUUUAAUCUGCGACACGCCCUGCCAGAAAAAAAAAACGACAUUAAACAUACACAAAGGCCUUAACAGAAAACAUACCUGCAAAUGUCCCAUAGGCCACACGACCUAAAGGAAAAAAAAGGAACCAUUUGACAUACACAAAGGCCUUAACAGAAAACAUACCUGCGAAUCUCCAAUCUGCGUCGCGCCCUGCCAGAAAAAAAGAAAAGACAACAUUAGACAUACACAAAGGUCUUAACAGAAAACAUACCUGGGAAUCCUCAAUCUGCGUCGCGCCCUGCUAGAAAAAAAGAAAAGGCGCAAUUAGACAUACACAAAGGUCUUAACAGAAAACAUACCUGGGAAUCCUCAAUCUGCGUCGCGCCCUGCUAGAAAAAAAGAAAAGGCGCAAUUAGACAUACACAAAGGUCUUAACAGAAAACAUACCUGGGAAUCCUCAAUCUGCGUCGCGCCCUGCAAAAAAAAAAAAAGGCCACACGACCUAAAGGAAAAAAAAAAGAAACCAUUAGACAUACACAAAGGUCUUAACAGAAAACAUACCUUGGAAUCCUCAAUCUGCGUCGCGCCCUGCUAGAAAAAAAGAAAAGGCGCAAUUGGACAUACACAAAGGUCUUAACAGAAAACAUACCUGGGAAUCCUCAAUCUGCGUCGCGCCCUGCAAAAAAAAAAAGGCCACACGACCUAAAGGAAAAAAAAAAAACAUUAGACAUACACAAAGGUCUUAACAGAAAACAUACCUGGGAAUCCUCAAUCUGCGUCGCGCCCUGCUAGAAAAAAAGAAAAGGCGCAAUUAGACAUACACAAAGGUCUUAACAGAAAACAUACCUGGGAAUCCUCAAUCUGCGUCGCGCCCUGCUAGAAAAAAAGAAAAGGGACAACCUUAGACAUACACAAAGGUCUUAACAGAAAACAUACCUGGGAAUCCUCAAUCUGCGUCGCACCCUACUAGAAAAAAAGAAAAGGCGAAAUUAGACAUACACAAAGGUCUUAACAGAAAACAUACCUGAAAAUCUCCAAUCUGCGAUGCGCCCUGCCAGAAAAAAAAGAAAAGGCGCAAUUAGACAUACACAAAGGUCUUAACAGAAAACAUACCUGGGAAUCCUCAAUCUGCGUCACGCCCUGCAAAAAAAAAAAGGCCACACGACCAAGCCCUGCUAGAAAAAAAAAAGGCGACAUUAGACAUACACAAAGGUCUUAACAGAAAACAUACCUGAAAAUCCUCAAUCUGCGUCGCGCCCUGCUAGAAAAAAAGAAAAGGCGACAUUAGACAUACACAAAGGCCUUAACAGAAAACAUACCUUCGAAUCUUCAAUCUGCAUCGCGCCCUGCUGGAAAAAAAAGAAAAGGCGCAAUUAGACAUACACAAAGGUCUUAACAGAAAACAUACCUGGGAAUCCUCAAUCUGCGUCGCGCCCUGCUAGAAAAAAAGAAAAGGCGCAA
rnacentral:lncRNA from 1 species